rnacentral:rRNA from 1 species
UACGGAGGAUGCAAGCGUUAUCCGGAUUUAUUGGGUUUAAAGGGUGCGCAGGCGGAAGAUUAAGUCGGUGGUGAAAUUUUGCAGCUCAACUGUAAAAGUGCCAUUGAUACUGGUUUUCUUGAGUGUGGAUGAAGUAGGCGGAAUUUGUGGUGUAGCGGUGAAAUGCAUAGAUAUCACGAGGAACUCCGAUUGCGCAGGCAGCUUACUAAACCAUAACUGACGCUCAGGCACGAAGGCGUGGGGAUCAAACAGGAUUAGA